rnacentral:rRNA from 1 species
AGUGAACGCUGGCGGUAGGCCUAACACAUGCAAGUCGAACGGCAGCACAGGAGAGCUUGCUCUCUGGGUGGCGAGUGGCGGACGGGUGAGGAAUACAUCGGAAUCUACUCUGUCGUGGGGGAUAACGUAGGGAAACUUACGCUAAUACCGCAUACGACCUACGGGUGAAAGCAGGGGACCUUAGGGCCUUGCGCGAUUGAGUGAGCCGAUGUCGGAUUAGCUAGUUGGCGGGGUAAAGGCCCACCAAGGCGACGAUCCGUAGCUGGUCUGAGAGGAUGAUCAGCCACGCUGGAACUGAGACACGGUCCAGACUCCUACGGGAGGCAGCAGUGGGGAAUAUUGGACAAUGGCGCAAGCCUGAUCCAGCCAUACCGCGUGGGUGAAGAAGGCCUUCGGGUUGUAAAGCCCUUUUGUUGGGAAAGAAAUCCAGCUGGCUAAUACCCGGUUGGGAUGACGGUACCCAAAGAAUAAGCACCGGCUAACUUCGUGCCAGCCGCCGCCGUAA